GCUGCCACUGAGGUAAAUCCCCAGCCCCAAGUUAACUGCCAACUUUAAAGGGAGACACUACUAUGAGACCAGGGAGGCUGAGGCAGGAGGAUCAUUUGGGCUGAGCUGGAGACAUUGCAAGACCCCAUGUCAAGAGAAAAAUGAAAACUGGAGAAGUUUAUAAACUUUUACUGAGGUAUAAUUGGCAGUGUUCAAGGUGUACAAGUAGUUUGGCAAAGAUUUAUACAACAGUGAAUGAGCCGGCCAAAGUGGCUGAGAUGAAGCAAGUAUAUGAUUCUGGUCUCAUCCGCAUGUCUGACUGCGGAAGUGAAACAUGAAGUAGGGCUGUUGCCCUCGACGCUGUGUUUUACAAAGAUAUACCACUGAAAUAAGAUUCCAGAAGCAAUGACUUCAAUUGUGAUGCUCUAAUAUGCUUUUGCAUGCUCAAUGUAUGUCUGUUUGAAAAAAAUAAGAUUAAAUAAAUGGAU